UAAAUUACUGCUUAACAACUUUCCCUUCUCCCUCCCUGCCGGAGGAUCACCAAAUUUCUUCAGAAAAAAAGAAAUACACAGAUAGCCUAGUAGAGCAGUUACCCAAUGCCUUUCAUUUGCAAUCAGCUCAAAAUUAGAACAAACUCUGUAUGUUUGUUUAUUCCCUUUUCCCCCCUCAAUUUUAUUCACUUGUUUGUUGACAUAUGGGGGAUAAAUUUGCACAUGCACACUCACGUACAGUAUUUCCCACUACAAAGCUACAGCUACAAUGACUUAACAAAAUUUGGAGUAAACUAGUUUGUUAAAUUUUAAAGAUGUUUUAUUCCCGACUGAAAAUGUCCAGGUUCCACUAAUAGUAGUGUAAUAAAGACUUUCAUACUGAUUUUUUUUUUUUUAAUUUUGGCUGGGGUUGAAGUGACCCAAAAUGAAACACUUGGUUCAAAUUUUUCUCAUAGGAUUUUUCUCUAUAGCAAAAUCGAAAUCUUCUUGUGGAAAAUUUCAGUUUUUCAGUAAGUGCAUUCCCAUUAGAAAAUAACUGAACUGUGAAACUCCCAGCCAAGUCUAGUAAUGAUGGUCAUGACAAAGAUGGGGGAGAGAGAGGGAAUGGAUUUCAUUGCACUUUCUCAUUCAAAAGAGAGGGAAAACUGAGCUUCUCUAUUCCCUUUGUUUUCGCAGUCAAGUUUCCUGCCACUUCUAAAGCACAAACUCCUUAUGCAUAUGCAUUUAUUGCUUGGGUAUCAAACUGAUAAUAUAUUAAAAGGAUUAUGAUUUACUGCUGUAAUUAUUGGCCUCCCAACUUUCACCCACAAUUAUUGUGUGCAUAUAUCUUCCAGCUUGCAAAAUCCCCACUUGCCCAUAUAAAUGAUGUGAUUGCAUUACUCUGUACUUUCUUUGCUGUCCUAACUGCUCAUUAGAGCAAACACCUCAAAGUGUGCAUGUAAAUAUGUUGGGACUGCUUGGAUUAUCCGGCUCAUUCCCUCUUUUUCUCUCUUAGGAGUUUUUCCUUCUUUUCUCUUGCCACCCCACUUAUAGUGCUAUAGUAGAUCACCCUGCAUUUUUCCUCUCAUUUUUUCCAAGUGUCCAAAUGUUCCUGUUUGAUUUAUUUAUGUCUGACACUGUUUCGGAGUGCCCAGUUCAUUUCCUUUGGGAGCUUUCUGUGCUAAUCUUUCUCCAUUUGUAUGCUUAUUUCCUCUGGCUCUGCUCUCCUACUCAGCUUCUCCAGUACAUAGUUUUCCUCCUUUCUCCUGAAUUUGUUUGCUCUGAUGUUAUCUUUUUCUUCCAUUAGUCAGAUCGCUUCUUCUUCUCUACUUCUCCCCAACUCUUUUUUCUCCUUCCUUUACAUUUCUUCUUCCUGCACAACCCGCUAUGAUCCAGAGGGACCACUUUUUUUGCCCUGUCUCUGCAAAGGAGAUCCACAGUGCACUUUUUUAUACAUCUUUUAUUCCAUUCUGUUCUUCCUUUUUUUCUCGCCUUAUUUGUUUUUAUUUUUCUUUCUACGCCUUCAACCUUUACCUAUUGCCAGGUUCGAAGAGUUUCACUUGACAGGGGCGUCUGUUCCCCAGCCCCACAUUCACCGGGGGAACUCGAGAGCAGAUGACAUCCCUAGCUGUCAGUGUGCUGCCCCAGGUCUCCCCUCAGGGCGAUUCUGUUUCCCCCAGAGCAGGACAGAAGUGUUGAGGAAGUUGGUGGAAAGGAGAUUGCAGGAUGCUGCUGCCAGAGCCGGUGCAGCAGCCGUGCCCCGCCGAGCCCCGCAGCAGCCCAGGGGUGUGUAUGCAGCUGCCUGUCUGCACUUGAAAGAAGUCGUGGGGCUGUGUACACGGUUCCAUCCCAGGCUCUGGGCGUGCACCCUGCACUGGCCAGUGCUAAUAGGCAAGUAAAAGCCCCCCGAGGGCCACUCACUUCCCUCUUGUAAAUCCGCAUGUGGUUUGAAGGGGUACUUUAUGAGGUGCCUCUGUAUACUUGAUCCCUUGUAUUUUUUCCUGCUGCGAAGCCCGAGGCUGUCUUUCACAGCUCCUGCAGUAAACCAGGGCCUCGGGAUCCGGAGUGGCAGGGACACGGCGAGCAGUGAGUGUCGGCUUUCAUGGAAGCCGCAGGUGCUUUCCUCAGGGCCCUGCCGUGCGGGCCCUGCCGUGCGGGCCCUGCCGUGCGGGCAACGCAGGCAGGCGGCGGCUGAGGCUGCUCCGGCAGCUCAGUGCUCAGGUACUACAUCUCUUGGUGGGUUUUUGUCCUUUUUCAUCCUCUGCCAUCACGGGAGAGCGGCUGUUUAGGCCUUUUGUCCCCUCUAUGGUUCUAUAGCUAUGUUAUAAUUCAUUGCGCAAGUGAAAAGCAAACAAGGAACUAGGACAGCAACAGAAGGCCUUGAAAGAGAUGAUGAUAAGGAAGUCCGUGGGAAGACCUGCUCCCGUAUCUCCUCCUCCAUGCCCAUUCACUCCUGUGACUCGGUGCCACAGAGCAUCUCCUCUGCCAAGAAGCACAGCCCCCUUACACAAAGAGGAUGUGGCUGAUACCUGACUUUGCCUUUCCUACAGGAGAAAUGGAAGUGGGACUUCUGGGACUCUCUUUGCACCUUGGCAAGAUGGACAGCUGCUCUCUGAAAUCCAGCAUCUGUUUAAGACCCAUAAGGACCAUCAGAAUGUAUGUCCCGAAUCCACAGAAACAACCUACUGUGGAGAUCUCUGUAAAGAGGCUUUCAUCUCUGCCCAUUUUGUCAACAUCCUCCAGAAAACACGAGUCAACUGACAGAGUGACACUGUUGGAGGGGGCUUAUCUUCAUCAGGAGAUGUGGGAGCUGCUUCACCUGCCUCCCAGGGAAAUAAGCAAUUGGUGCAGUCCACAGAUGGGUGGCUAGGACACCUUCAUGGAAGUGGGUAAUAUAGAAUCUGACCACCCAAAUACAAGGGAACUUACCUCUUCCUUGUACUUUGAGGAAAUCACAGGGUAACUGCUAAGCUGUUACAUACAAGAUUCUUAUCACCACCCCUGCUAAUGAAAGCAUCUCAAGCUUUCAUGAUUAUCAGGAAACUGUAGGUGUGCUUUGAAUAUAUUUACUGGAUCCAGCUUCCUUGAACUGAGGCACAAGUCAUGAAUCUCACAGUCUUUGGCAGAGAUGGAGAAAAAAUAUUUGGCUCAGCCGGUAUCAUGGUUCCAUUGGGCAUGCUUUGCAGCAGAAAUGUUGACGCCAAACUAAGCUUUCCUGUGCAAACUUAAGCGCUUACAGACUCUCAGACAUCUAAAGGAUUAAGCAAAUCCUUUGUGGAUCACAUAUUUGGACAUGGGUGACUAAAGUCUGCCUAAAGUGCUUGAGAAGUUGGUUUGUGCACAUUGUAAUUUUCCAGUUCCUUCCAACUAACCCUUUGGUGUUAUAUUGGUGAUAAUUACUUCUCUGUCUUUGAAUGUCUGUCUCAAAGGGAUCUGUCUUCUCAGUAGCAUAACUUUUUGCGCAACUGGUAGAAACCAUCUUCUCUCUCAAACCACCUCGCUGAUUAAAACAGCCAAAUUCAGAGCAAUUGUUUGCAUUCCAGAUUUAGUUCUGAAGUUUGUUGCCUCCCUUUCUGAAGUAAUGAACAACAUCCUUCACUUCAUCUGUUUUUUCCCCAUCCAUUUCUGCUGGUGUGAUGCAAGAUGUUGUUUCUUUAUACCAGCUUUACCUUGUUUCUAGGACAGCAUUACAUGUACAAGAGGCUUCAACCUCUGGGAUAGACACAUCCAAUGUCACCGAGAGUUCUCAACAGGACAAAGGAAAACCAAGUACUUAGUUUAACUCUUGCAACCAAAAGACAAAUAUUCUGAACCUGUGAGGAAAGGGAAGUGAGUUUUCUACCACUGACAGAGAGCUGAAGAGCUGUGUAGGUAGAGACAGUUAUUACAGUCCUGCUGCUCAGCCUUCGUGCUCCCCACAGAAAAGCUCUGCAGCUGUUCUGCUAUUUUUCAUGAAAGACUGAUUCCUUUUCUAGCUGGUUGUACCCUGGGAGAGCUGCUCCAGGAGUUUUGCCAGCUAGAGCAAGAUUUGGGAGGGUGAAGGCCAGCUUCUCAUUUGGAGCAGACAGGUAGCAAAGACGACUUAUUUUAAAGAAGUACAAAGAGCCAUGAAAUAUCCAGGGCAAGAUUCAUCCUGGCUAGCUGGUGAUGUCAAGAGUAGAGGUAUUCACACCUGUGUUAGUCAUUUACCUCUCCCAAGAGCCCAUAGAGACCUAGUUCUGAGUUAGAUUAAGAUGAAAUGUGUCCAAAAGCAUCUCUUUCUCCCCUCUGCCCCAAUGCCAAAUAAGCACUGUGCUAUGUCAGACACAGACAUCUACAUCCAACCUACCCCAUCCUCAGCAGGUGCUUGCCAAAGCCUCUUAGCUGAGUCUGGCUACACCCAUAGAACUUGCCUCCAUGUGUAUAAUGUGCUGCUGCUCCAGAGAGGGAGAGCAGACAUCCCUAACCUUUACUUUGCUGCCUGCUACUUGUGGCAGAAGGGUGGUGGCACAUCUGCAUCUCUCCCCAGUCACAUCUGGUUGAGAUGUGGUAACAGACUCUCUGCACAAGGUACCUCCUGAGGGCUAUGAGGGGAAGAGUGCUGCAGCAUUUGAAGCAAGGGUGGCCAGCAAGAGACAUAUCCCUCUUUGUCUUAUUUUGUUUUCACCCACAUGGCACGUAGCUGCUUACAGAAUGAGAUCCGGCCCUCUAGGAAGUACACAUGCUUGCAUGUGUUGGAUGCACACAUAGAUGUGUGU